UCCAGAUGGCUGGAAAAGUGUGCAAAGAGG
rnacentral:piRNA from 1 species